rnacentral:lncRNA from 1 species
UUGAUUCUCAGAUCAAUCCUGAUAUGAUUAUGUUAUUUCUUGGAUAGACUUUGCUAUUUUUGGGUAUGCUAAGAAAAUAAUAAUAAUAAUAAUAAUUUGAGCGUAUCAUGACUCGGGUUAGUUGAUUGUUGACUAAAUAUGGUCUAAUUUGUUAAGUAUCUGAAUAAACCAUGCAUUAUUUGCUCCCAUCUUAUAAUUUAUAAGUUUAAGUUAAAAGCUUUGUAGCAUAUUGAAUCAUGAUAUCAAUACUUUGCCUUCCCAGACCUACUCUUGUGAUUUGAUGCAAAUCAUUUUUGAAAUAGACUGUUGCUAUCUAAUGAUCGUCAGUACAUGUUCAUUUUGUGAAUUACAUUUCUAGCCAUUUAAUGAUUUGACUCCAAGGUUGGUCAUUAUCCUUUGAGGGAUCAGCACACUACCAUGAUAAGUGUAUGAGAUCUAUUUCAUUUCAAGUUCUAUCCCAAACACAACUAAUUUUAAUCAAUCCUGUUGUGAAUCGAUCCUGAUCCAACCUCGAGCGAACAUGCAUCAAGAUGAUAAUUUCUAUAUGAGAUUUUACUCAGCCACUUAUCUAGUGUUAAUCUUGAAAUUUUUGAUAGUUGAUCCAAAGCAAUCUAUCACACUAAUUUUGAGCGAGGAGAAUGAGAUCUUGGAUUUAUAUUACUCAAUAGGCUGAGCAUUUCUAAAUUUGAAAGGCAUAGAUCUCUUAAAUUUCGAGGACGAAAUUUUUUUAAGGGGGAGAGAAUGUGAGAUACGGGCUGAAGUCGGCAGCCCCAGCCGACUUCAGCCCCGACUUUCUCUUUUGGAAGGGGCCAGAGCAGGGGAUCGCAGAUGCGAUCCCCUCCGGCUUCUUCGGGUGCAGCGAGGGCGGGGCGCC